AUACUUCCCUGGUGGGGGAGAUACUAUGGUUAGGAGGGUGGUUUAUUUAUGCUUGGGUUCAUCCAUUGCACUUCGGAUGUGCGGACUCCUGUGAUUUUUGUAAAUAUGGGAUACUCAGCUGUGUCAUUUGUGGUCGCGAGGGGUUGUGUUUAUGCUUUCCCUUG
ensembl:snRNA U1 U1 spliceosomal RNA